GGCAAUGCGAUGACGAGGCCAGUAGGCACGACGCUCUCGCUUCAGAGAGUCGCCGGUUGGUGCAAGGCGAUGCAGAGGCGUGCUGAAACUCCCCUCCGAGCAGAAAUGCUGAACCGUGCCCCUGAGGCACGCAGUAGGCUUUCCGGUUAGCGCCCGAUAGAGCGCCUUGAGUGAUCGGCAGAAUGCCUAGGGCAUUCAACGUGCGCAUUGCGUUAAUGCGUGCCGAUAUCAAGGGUGGUACCGCGUGAGCAGAGCCUCUCGUCCCUUGG
rnacentral:ncRNA from 1 species